UCCUGCUUMAGCUUAUAUAGCCCAUUCUGAAUGUUUYGUAUACGCGCRUGGAUUGAUUGYGAAUGGUCGGUAAGAUUGAGACAACACAUCCCCUCAAACUCGUCACACCCAUGUCCAUGAGCUAAGAGCAAGAAAUCUAUAGCGGCCCUAUUUUGUAACACAGCGUGGUUUAUGCUCAGSGCAUCCUGAGACAUCUCAUCUAGUACUCGUGAUGUAAUAKUUAACUCAUUUUUGGUCCAACAAGCCAAUUGCUCCGCCAAUUUCAUCGCCUUAAGCCCAGUGGCUCCCGGCAGCAGCGUAGCAGUCGCCAGCUGCCGGAAGCCUGACCAAAAUACGGGAUCGCCAAUGUCCUUGCACUYUAGCUCAUGCACACUCCUUCUGCCCCGCCCGUGCUUCAUCAAGAUCAAGUUCUGCAGUUGGGUGAGAUUGGGGUGGAACAGACUCAAUCUCCCCARGUAGCACGGGCCUCCACGCAGGAUGCGUGGCACGCCGUUCCAGGCCCUAUCCCCGCAUAUCAGAAAUAUACCAGGCGGCAGCGCUUUCGCUGUUGUGUGGCUUGUUGCGUUGCAGUUCGUAUACACCCGGCCAUGCACGUCACUGCUGCUUAAGGCGGAAUUCAAGGUUACCCAUUUUGAUGACCGCUCUUCCACCAACCCCCCCAACACUCUUUUGUUCGUGCCCAGUCAUUGCAGCACGCUCACAAUCACAAUCCCGUUCGUUCCGGGUGAGGMUGGUGCUUUGUUUUCGUCCUCUGUCAAGAGCCUCCAGUUCCUGCCGUGGGUCUUCAAGCGCAGGUAGUAGCUGACUCACGGGCUGUUUCCAGUGAGCAGUCGUCCGCAGGUCCAGCGUUACUCUUCUUCAACCAUGGUCGAACCCGCUUCGCGGGUAUCCACUCCGUACCAGUACCUGCAAUGACACAAGCAUACCCUCRGCCCCAAGUGAGUAAUUCCACAGGCCCCUGCCAUGAAUGUGUUUGUGGUACCCAUCGGGACACGAGCGUCUUAAUAGGUCUCGUAGUCUGYGCAUGGCGUGCCCCCGGGCUGAUCAACYCCCCUUGGUCUAUUUCAAUGAGGUUGCGCCAAUUUAACACAUAACAGCUUUUUGCUACGAUGUCAUGGACGGGGAGRGAUACCUCCCCCUCCUUUUUYAAAAYAGCAAAAAGGCGUUUUAAAUMCUGAUGUCGGCGCUCCACUAUGGCCUGGCCAGUGGAAUUAUAGGGGACCCCCGUGGAAUGUGUAAUGUCCCAAGCUCGCAUAAACUCAGCGCACGCGGCGCUCGUAUAGGCAGGUCCAUUGUCGGUUUUUAUCUGAGCCGGCUUCCCCAGCGCGGCAAAGGCUUGCAGCCAAUGCAGGCGGCAGGCAGUGAAGCGYGUGGAGGUUGCGGCAGUGGCCCAGGUCAUUUUACUGAAUGUAUCRACUGAUACAUGGACAAAGCGCAGUCGCCCAAAGGCAGGGACUUCUGUGACAUCGGUCUGCCAUAGCUGGCGAGGUUCCAGCCCACGUGGGUUUGUCCCUGUGUCCUGCAGCGGGGGAAUGUGUGCACAAUCAGGGCACGCGGCCACUAUGGCCCUGCUUUCUGCCCGGGAUAAGUUGAACUCCUUUUGCAAAGAUCUAGCYGACUGGUGAAAAAACGCAUGRKAUYGUUGYGCCAGCUGUAACCUAGUUUUUUCUUCACCGGCGGCUGAGACUUGGGCAUCUAUGCGCUGGUUGCCCUCUGCCAAUAUUCCCGGCAGCCCCGAAUGGCUACAGACGUGUGUGCACCAGAACGGCUGAACGUGAGAAUUUAAAUGGCCGCCUGC
rnacentral:lncRNA from 1 species